AGCAGUGGGGAAUUUUGGACAAUGGGCGCAAGCCUGAUCCAGCAAUGCCGCGUGAGUGAAGAAGGCCUUCGGGUUGUAAAGCUCUUUUGUCAGGGAAGAAACGGUGAAGGCUAAUAUCCUUUGCUAAUGACGGUACCUGAAGAAUAAGCACCGGCUAACUACGUGCCAGCAGCCGCGGUAAUACGUAGGGUGCAAGCGUUAAUCGGAAUUACUGGGCGUAAAGCGUGCGCAGGCGGUUUUGUAAGUUUGUCGUGAAAGCCCCGGGCUCAACCUGGGAAUUGCGAUGAAGACUGCAAGGCUUGAAUCUGGCAGAGGGGGGUAGAAUUCCACGUGUAGCAGUGAAAUGCGUAGAGAUGUGGGAGGAACACCGAUGGCGAAGGCAGCCCCCUGGGUCAAGAUUGACGCUCAUG
rnacentral:rRNA from 1 species